GGGCGCUGGCUGGCGACGGCCACCAUGGCACCUAGCACCACACCACGCAGCCAGAGGUGCGCAGACCAUCAGUUCACACUGGCAGUUCAGCCUCACAACAGCCCCUGCCUGGACAUUUCCAGGCAUCUGCCCACAGCCUGCCGGGAAAGCACCAUCUGACUUUGGCAGAAUCAAGUGUUGGGGCUCCCCAAGACCCCCACAUUCUGUGACUUGCUAGGAGGGUGCACAGCUGAGUUCAUCACAGCAGGAGGUUUCAGAGUAAGAUCAGACCCAGGGGCGGUGUGGGGAAGCCAGUGCCAGCUCCCAAGGGUCCUCUCCACAAAGUCAGGUGGACAUGGCACGUACGCAGUGGUGUCUACCAGGGGGGCUCCUGAGACAGCACCCGGGUCCUGCCCAGCAUGUGGGGUUCCCGCCUCCCGGAAGGAAAGCGGGUGUUGUGCAUAGGCCUGGCUGUGCAGGUGCAACAAGCCCUCAGCUGGGAGCUGGUGGCUGGGAUGCCCAAGAGCCUGUUCCCCCUGUCAGCCUGGCAGGCGGGCCUUUCCGGGGCUGGAAGCCUUAGGCCCACUUUACAUGCUCCGAAAACAUCUUAAAAAGCUCAAGGAGGAACUGACGGCAGCUCGCAUCAAAUUCACCCUGCGUUUCUGCUCUGCUCAGGUUUUUUAUUACUGCAUCUGUGAUUCUGUGCUCAUUGUAGAAAAAUCAGGAAGUGCAGAGAAAAAUUGACCCACCAUCACAGGCUGCCUGUCGUUGUCGGGGGCGGGGGAGCCUCCAGCCAGGCCUCUGACUGUCGCACACAUCGUCUUUCCCCACCCCGGGGCCUCCCAUGCAGCCCUGCAGACACUGCUCUGUUUAGGAAGGUGACGGUGCCUCGGUGGACCCCUCAGUCUUCCAUGGGUUCCUGUGCUCAGCCUUGGGCUCCCGUCAGUGAUUCGAGUCUGGGGGAUCUGACGCAGCCUGCUCCAGCCUCUCACAGACUGACUGCCAGGGUGGGUGUGUGAGAAGCCCCUGGGUGGUGGCAGGUGGCACACUGGAAAUGUCCAGAAGGCGAGGGGUAGUGGAGCCCUCCGCAGGGCAUGGUGGAACAUACAGGUCCCAGACACACCCGUGAGAGGCAGCAGGCUUUGCUCUUGGGUCUGCACUGGGCAGGAGGGGCACCCCCUGUGUGAGCUGUGCAGGCUGUUUAGCCUGGGGGAUUAGCGGCGUCUUGUCCUGUAUGGAACCUGGUGUAGACACUUAACACUGCUCGGCCAGGUGGGGGCGGCCUCAGCAUCGCCACAGCAGAGAGGAGCGCCCUGGAGGAAGGGAGGGCCGCAGGGAAGAGGGGCCCCGCGGGCCAGGAGGGGUGCCCACAGCAGCACAAAGCCCAGGAAGUGGGGCAGGCACGCGUCCAUGAGGCUGGAGGCCUGGGUGCAGGUGGCCUGCAGUCUGGCAGUGCCUGGUUGGGAGCCCAGGGGCUGCUGGACGCCACUGUACGGCGGUGCCUGGGUGGUAAAAGGAGACUUGUCUAGGACCCCGCCGUGCAGAACCAUGGCUCCCCGGGUCCCCCCAUGGCUUGGCCAGUGCUUUAGGUGAGCUGUGCAGGCCGGAGGAAGUCCUGUCCCAGCACGUGGGGCAGCUGUGGACCGAUGAGGUGCAGGAGGGCAGCCAUCCCUGGCCCUUUGUUAGGUUUUUACUGUGUGUAAAUACAGGAAAUAAAGUCAAAUUGUAAACGA